rnacentral:miRNA from 1 species
GUCUACAGCCAUACCACCCUGAACACGCCCGAUCUUGUCUGACCUCGGAAGCUAAGCAGGGUCGGGCCUGGUUAGUACUUGGAUGGG